rnacentral:rRNA from 1 species
AUUGAACGCUGGCGGCAUGCCUUACACAUGCAAGUCGAACGGUAACAGGUCUUCGGAUGCUGACGAGUGGCGAACGGGUGAGUAAUACAUCGGAACGUGCCUAGUAGUGGGGGAUAACUACUCGAAAGAGUGGCUAAUACCGCAUGAGAUCUACGGAUGAAAGCAGGGGAUCGCAAGACCUUGUGCUACUAGAGCGGCCAAUGGCAGAUUAGGUAGUUGGUGGGAUAAAAGCUUACCAAGCCGACGAUCUGUAGCUGGUCGGAGAGGACGAUCAGCCACACUGGGACUGAGAAACGGCCCAGACUCCUACGGGAGGCAGCAGUGGGGAAUUUUGGACAAUGGGCGCAAGCCUGAUCCAGCAAUGCCGCGUGCAGGAUGAAAGCCUUCGGGUUGUAAACUGCUUUUGUACGGAACGAAAAGCCCCGGGUUAAUACCCUGGGGUCAUGACGGUACCGUAAGAAUAAGCACCGGCUAACUACGUGCCAGCCGCCGCCGUAA